UACGUAGGGUGCAGGCGUUAAUCGGAAUUACUGGGCGUAAAGGGCGCGUAGGCGGCUUUAUAAGUCGGGGGUGAAAGCCUGUGGCUCAACCACAGAAUUGCCUUCGAUACUGUAGAGCUUGAGACCGGAAGAGGUAAGUGGAACUGCGAGUGUAGAGGUGAAAUUCGUAGAUAUUCGCAAGAACACCAGUGGCGAAGGCGGCUUACUGGUCCGGUUCUGACGCUGAGGCGCGAAAGCGUGGGGAGCAAACAGG
rnacentral:rRNA from 1 species